rnacentral:rRNA from 1 species
CUACGGGCGGCUCCAGUGGGGAAUAUUGGACAAUGGGGGAAACCCUGAUCCAGCAAUGCCGCGUGUGUGAAGAAGGCCUGCGGGUUGUAAAGCACUUUCGGUUGGGAGGACUGCUUCUAGCACUAAUAUUGUUGGAAGUUGACGUUACCUUCAGAAGAAGCACCGGCUAACUCCGUGCCAGCAGCCGCGGUAAUACGGAGGGUGCAAGCGUUAAUCGGAAUUACUGGGCGUAAAGCGCGCGUAGGCGGCUAGAUCAGUCGGGUGUGAAAGCCCCGGGCUUAACCUGGGAACUGCAUCCGAUACUGUCUAGCUUGAGUACAGGAGAGGAGAGUGGAAUUCCACAUGUAGCGGUGAAAUGCGUAGAUAUGUGGAGGAACACCAAUGGCGAAGGCAGCUCUCUGGCCUGAUACUGACGCUGAGGCGUGAAAGCGUGGGGAGCAAACAGGAUUAGAUACCCGUGUAGUC